AAAAAUAAAAAUAAGAUAUAAGUCUAUAUGGCAAAAAAAGAUUAAUUCAAUUUUUUUAGUUUAUCUUGAAUGAAAUGAUAUAUGAUUAUAAAAAAACUUCUUACGGAUUUUAAAUCAUAAGCUUCAAAAAGAUGAAGCAAUGAAGCAGAUGACGACUUUCAACUAAGAUUUCAGCAUGUUACAACAUAUUCCAAGGCUAAUCACUGAAUGAAGAGAUGACUAGACUUUCUAGCAUGGAGCAAGUAAAGAAGAUAAGUUUUGAUCUACAUGGAUAUAGUUCUAGCGCACUAGAUGAUUUUUCAGGCAGUCUUUUUCAGAGUUGCUGGAACAUUAUAGGAGAAGACAUUACUAAGUCGCUGAAAUAUUGAAUAGGAGUCUGAUAGCCUUCACAAAGAUGAACAGUUUAAAUAAUAUGGUAUGCCCAAAUGGAGUCCAGAGAUCAAUCACCUUUCUUAUGUUGAUGACGCUGUUCUCUUUUGCUCAGCAGCUGAGGCGGAUCUAUGUAGUAGGAAUGGGGUAUCAUAAUACCCACACUUCUUGAUUGAAACUCUGUAUAUUUAUGUGUGUAUCAGAUAUCAGUUAAUAUAUAAAUGUUGACACUCAUAAUAUCAAAUGAGCUAAUGGUACGAGUGGUAACCUAGCAGCACGGGUUCGACCUUCGCUUAACACU